rnacentral:miRNA from 14 species
UUUUUUGUUUUGUUUUUUGAGGCAGGGUUUUUCUACAUAGUUCUGAGCACUGCCUGUCCUGGAACUCACUGUGUAGAUUGGGCUGUCCUCAAACUCUGAGA